CCUACGGGUGGCAGCAGUGGGGAAUAUUGCACAAUGUGGGAAACCCUGCUGCAGCGCCGCCGCGUGAGUGAAGAAGUAUUUCGGUAUGUAAAGCUCUAUCAGCAGGGAAGAAAUAGCGACCUUUGGGUCGCCAGACGGUACCUGAUUAAGAAGCCCCGGCUAACUACGUGCCAGCAGCCGCGGUAAUACGUAGGGGGCAAGCGUUAUCCGGAUUUACUGGGUGUAAAGGGAGCGUAGACGGCAGCGCAAGUCUGAAGUGAAAUGCCGGGGCUUAACCCCGGAACUGCGUUGGAUACUGUGCAGCUAGAGUGCAGGAGAGGUAAGUGGAAUUCCUAGUGUAGCGGUGAAAUGCGUAGAUAUUAGGAGGAACACCAGUGGCGAAGGCGGCUUACUGGACUGUAACUGACGUUGAGGCUCGAAAGCGUGGGGAGCAAACAGGAUUAGAUACCCUGGUAGUC
rnacentral:rRNA from 1 species